rnacentral:rRNA from 1 species
GACGAACGCUGGCGGCGUGCUUAACACAUGCAAGUCGAACGGAAAGGCCCGGCUUUUGUGGGGUGCUCGAGAGGCGAACGGGGGAGUAACACGUGAGUAACGUGCCCUUGACUUUGGGAUAACUUCAGGAAACUGGGGCUAAUACCGGAUAGGAGCUCUUGCUGCAGGGUGGGGGUUGGAAAGUUUCGGCGGUUGGGGAUGGACUCGCGGCUUAUCAGCUUGUUGGUGGGGUAGUGGCUUACGAAGGCUUUGACGGGUAGCCGGCCUGGGAGGGUGACCGGCCACAUUGGGACUGCGCUGCGGCCCAGACUCCUACGGGAGGCAGCAGUGGGGCAUGUUGCACAAUGGGCGGAAGCCUGAUGCGGCAACGCCGCGUGCGGGGUGACGGCCUUCGGGUUGUAAACCGCUUUCGCCUGUGACGAAGCGUGAGUGACGGUAAUGGGUAAAGAAGCACCGGCUAACUACGUG